GACGAACGCUGGCGGCGUGCUUAACACAUGCAAGUCGAACGGACAGGCCCUGCUUUUGUUGGUUUCUCGAGUGGCGAACGGGUGAGUAACACGUGUGUAACCUGCCCUUGACUUUGGGAUAUCUUCAGGAAACUGGGGCUCAUACCGGAUAUGAGCUCCUGCUGCAUGGUGGGGGUUGGAAAGUUUCGGCGGUUGGGGAUGGACUCGCGGCUUAUCAGCUUGUUGGUGGGGUAGUGGCUUACCAAGGCUUUGACGGGUAGCCGGCCUGAGAGGGUGACCGGCCACAUUGGGACUGAGAUACGGCCCAGACUCCUACGGGAGGCAGCAGUGGGGAAUAUUGCACAAUGGGCGGAAGCCUGAGGCAGAAACGCCGCGUGCGGGAUGACGGCCUUCGGGUUGUAAACCGAUUUCGCAUGUGACGAAGCGUGAGUGACGGUAAUGGGUAAAGAAGCACCGGCUAACUACGUG
rnacentral:rRNA from 1 species